rnacentral:lncRNA from 10 species
GUGACCCACUGUGCUCCUCUGGGGGAUGCUGGGGCCCAGGCCCUGGUCAGUGCUUGUCCUGUCGAAAUUAUAGCCGAGGAGGUGUCUGUGUGACCCACUGCAACUUUCUGAAUGGGGAGCCUCGAGAAUUUGCCCAUGAGGCCGAAUGCUUCUCCUGCCACCCGGAAUGCCAACCCAUGGAGGGCACUGCCACAUGCAAUGGCUCGGUAUACUAGUAGCACCAGGAUCUCCAAGGGAGACAGAGAAGGGGCAAUACUUGGAGCAUCUGGGGAAUGAUAUGGCUAAGGAUAGCACAGAGAGGCCAGAUAAUGCUAGGGCCUGCAGAUAGAAGAUCCUGAAUGUCUGGGUUGGUCUUUGCUGGGAGGUAUGGAAUUGACCUUGGGAUCUGAUUCUUCCUGACCUUCUCUCUUCCACUCAGGGCUCUGAUACUUGUGCUCAAUGUGCCCAUUUUCGAGAUGGGCCCCACUGUGUGAGCAGCUGCCCCCAUGGAGUCCUAGGUGCCAAGGGCCCAAUCUACAAGUACCCAGAUGUUCAGAAUGAAUGUCGGCCCUGCCAUGAGAACUGCACCCAGGGGUCAGUGAUGGGAUAAUAAGGAGAGGGGGUCAGGUGGAAGGGUAGGAGCACAGAACUAGAGUGAGGGAAGCAGAAAGAAGAGAGAGGCUGUGAUUCAAGAAUCACUCCCAGCUGGCCGGGCGCAGUGGCUCACACCUGUAAUCCCAGCACUGUGGGAGGCCGAGGUGGGUGGAUCACCUGAGGUCGGGAGUUCGAGACCAGCCUGACCAAUAUGGAGAAACCCUGUCUCUACC